rfam:Neotoma lepida isolate 417 scaffold_5830, whole genome shotgun sequence.
UGGCGCCCAAUGUGGGGCUUGAGAAUGUGGAGGAUCAGUGACCAAAGCAGGCCAGCAUAUCAAUUGGACCACCGUGGAGAAUGCUCCACAAGCGAAGGUCCAGUCAAGUGAUCNCCAGGGGGACGCCCAACCGUGAAACAGAUCCGGGGAGUUGAUUUGUGCCGACGCAAGGUAAGUUUACCAUGGGACAAGCAUUUAUUUAGUAAGCAGGAUUUAUUUAUUUCAGGAUUUAAACAGUCUCUCAAGAUACGAGGAACAAGGAUAAAAAAGAAAGAUUUUAAAAAGUUUCUUGAUUAUAUUANGGACCUUUGUCCCU